rnacentral:misc_RNA from 1 species
UUUUCCACCUCGAAAUUCUUCUCCAAGGCUUUGACUUGAUCCAGGGUUAACCUUCUUUUUUUCUCAGUAGUGUGGGUAACGUCUUCGGUGUAGUCUUCUUCUUCUUCUAGGCUCUCUAACAUUGCCUGAAACUCUCUAGUGAACCCUUGGGUUGAUUUUUGAGUCCUUUGGAAGAAGAGAUGGAGACUAAAGCAGCAAAUGAAUCUGAGGAACUGAAUCGCUUCAUAGUUGAAACUUGAAAUCAAGAAAGGACCUUAGCAGAUAUAUUGCUCAAGAAGUGCUAUAGUGUUCGUAUAGAGAAACCAUAACCAGGACUACUGUGGCAAGAUAUUGACCAGAAUGGGAAAAUGAUUCGAUAAAGAAAUUAAAGCCUCUUGGCAGGCAGGGGUUUGCUCACUCUCUUAAGCCCCAC